rnacentral:rRNA from 1 species
CCUACGGGUGGCUGCAGUGGGGAAUAUUGGACAAUGGGCGAAAGCCUGAUCCAGCCAUGCCGCGUGUGUGAAGAAGGCCUUCGGGUUGUAAAGCACUUUCAGUGGGGAAGAAAGCCUUGGGGCUAAUACCCUCGAGGAAGGACAUCACCCACAGAAGAAGCACCGGCUAACUCCGUGCCAGCAGCCGCGGUAAUACGGAGGGUGCGAGCGUUAAUCGGAAUUACUGGGCGUAAAGCGCGCGUAGGCGGUCUGAUAAGCCGGUUGUGAAAGCCCCGGGCUCAACCUGGGAACGGCAUCCGGAACGGUCAGGCUAGAGGGCAGGAGAGGAAGGUAGAAUUCCCGGUGUAGCGGUGAAAUGCGUAGAGAGCGGGAGGAAUACCAGUGGCGAAGGCGGCCUUCUGGACUGACACUGACGCUGAGGUGCGAAAGCGUGGGUAGCAAACAGGAUUAGAUACCCCUGUAGUC